UACGUAGGGACCGAGCGUUUGUCCGGAUUCAUUGGGCGUAAAGAGCUCGUAGGCGGCCACUCAAGUCGAAUGUGAAACCUCGAGGCUUAACCUCGAGCCUGCAUUCGAUACUGGGCGGCUAGAGUCUGGUAGGGGGAUCUGGAAUUCCUGGUGUAGCGGUGGAAUGCGCAGAUAUCAGGAGGAACACCGGUGGCGAAGGCGGGAUCCUGGGCCAGUACUGACGCUGAGGAGCGAAAGCGUGGGGAGCAAACAGG
rnacentral:rRNA from 1 species